CUGAAGGACAUCUGUGUAUUGUCUGUUCUCAGGACGUGACUCUGCAGCACUACAUGGAAUACACGGCAGAGAGUUUGAUUCCUGUGAUGGCACACAUUGCCAAGAAUGUACUGAAGGUGAACGACGGUACGACCAAACAUAUGGCCAUUAAAGGAAAGUACUCCACUUCCAAGCAGAUGAGGAUUGCCACCAUCGCGCAGCUCAAGUCUUCAGUGGUGACGGAUAUUGCAAAGCAGCUCACCGUAUGAGAAGACUUUUGGCAGUUUUGUACAGUUGUAACUUAAACUUUUUAAUGUGACCGAAGGAGCUGCACACCAAGGACCAAAUCAGUGGUUUGCACGUUUUACCAACUGAAAUCGUGAAUAAUUUUACUGACUCUUUUUCUAAAGCAUGCUACAAGUUUGAAUUUAAAAGCUAGCCCUCACACAAAAUGGCAGUUCAGUCUUGGAAAAGGACCUGCUCUUCAGUAAAGUGAACCAUAUCAGGCGUGUUUACUCUGUAUGAGUUUCAGUCUGUAUGACUACUCUAAUGCAAACCUAAUCACUUUUUUACAUCAUAAAUACACUACUUGGGAUGUUGGCUGACUGAAAUCUUGACUGUCUAUAGUUAUUUUUAUAGCUUAUCUGAACUGCUGCUCUGGCUGCAAAUCUAACACUUGUGGCAUGCUUUCAAAUGGUCCCGAAUAUCUAAAGUGGCCAGGUGUGAAUUUUAUGUGAAUUUUUUUUCCUUGUGUGAAUGUGUCAAAUGUACAGCAAUACUUUUAAAAUCCUUUUACAUGCUUAAUUUUCUUAAAGCUUUUAUAAAACAUUAGACCAGA